UACGUAGGGGGCAAGCGUUGUCCGGAAUCAUUGGGCGUAAAGAGCGUGUAGGCGGCUCGGUAAGUCCACUGUGAAAGUCCAGGGCUCAACCCUGGAAUGCCGGUGGAAACUGUCGAGCUAGAGUCCGGAAGAGGCGAGUGGAAUUCCUGGUGUAGCGGUGAAAUGCGCAGAUAUCAGGAGGAACACCAAUGGCGAAGGCAGCUCGCUGGGACGGUACUGACGCUGAGACGCGAAAGCGUGGGGAGCAAACAGG
rnacentral:rRNA from 1 species